rnacentral:rRNA from 1 species
UAAGGAAUAUUGGACAAUGGGCGCAAGCCUGAUCCAGCCAUUCCGCGUGUAGGAUGACGGCCCUCUGGGUUGUAAACUACUUUUAUUUGGGAAGAAACCCUGGGAUUUAUCCCGGGCUGACGGUACCAAAAGAAUAAGCACCGGCUAAUUCCGUG